rnacentral:tRNA from 1 species
UAUGAUGUCUGAUUUAUAAAUUUAGGCCCGUAAUCCUGUCACCUUAGGUCGAUCGGUACCUCAGAUUAUUAACUUUGAAAUUGAGAAAUCACUUAUCAUUAGUCUUUUAAUUUCAGUUCCUAAACUUGUCUAGGUCACACCUAACAAACUUUCUCCUGGGCUAUUAGCUCAGGCGGUUAGAGCGCACCCCUGAUAAGGGUGAGGUCCCUGGUUCAAGUCCAGGAUGGCCCAUUCGUUGUUGGGGGUAUAGCUCAGUUGGUAGAGCGCCUGCUUUGCAAGCAGGAUGUCAGCGGUUCGAGUCCGCUUACCUCCACUGAUCAACUACCUGAUAACUCAAAUUGGAGAUUGUUAUUUGUUAAAUGUGAUUUAGAUGUUGUUCAACUGAAGGAACCUAGCUUCCUAUCAUUCCUGAAUUAAUUUUAGGCUGAUAAGACGCUGGGCUCACUGAAUCUCCUUUGGGAUAUUCAGUUUGUUUCAGCAGAACCUUGACAACUGCAUAGGAAAAUCUAGAAAAAUAAAGCAUCUCAUAGAUGCAUAGAAGUUUUUUCAUUUUUAAUGAUUAGAUUUUUAUGUUCAAUUCUUGAGUUAGAGCAAAUUUUCUAUUACUUAAAUUCGCUUAGAGAUAAGUGAUAAC